GAGAGAGAGAGGUAGAGAUGGCGGGAGUGGGUGGUGCUGUAGGAGUACUGAUAUUGGACGAGUCUGUACUUUUGCAAUGUGAAGUACAUUUGACACUUUGGCAGGGGCUGAUGAAGCAAAGCAAGACUUCCAAGAGAUUGUAUGAACUAGAAUUUGGACUCCGUAUGUAUCGUACGGUCAUUUAAAUUGUUGACUAGGAUGGUUUUACUUUAGUUUCUAACUUUGCCAAAGCAUGAACAAGACUUGCGAGACACCCUGCAAUUCCUUUUCCUCUUAGAUGGAUGGAGAGAGAUUGGGAUUUAAAUUACUCUCAUCGAUAAACGGGAAAAAAAACAGAAGGUAUUUAAAGCGUAUAGCCGUGCG